rnacentral:rRNA from 1 species
UAACCUGCCUCAUACACAUGGAUAACAUACCAAAGGUAAUGCUAAUACAAGAUGACAUAAGAGAUUCGCAUGGAUUUCUUAUCAAAGCUCCGGCGGUAUGAGAUGGACCCGCGUCUGAUUAGCUAGUUGGUAAGGUAAUGGCUUACCAAGGCUUCGAUCAGUAGCCGACCUGAGAGGGUGAUCGGCCACAUUGGAACUGAGACACGGUCCAA